UGCAUUUCCCGUCAGUUUCAUUUAUAAUUCUGAAAAGUGAAGUUUGUACCUCUUGUUUUCAAAAUGUUUCACCCUCUCUGCCACCAAUUUAUAAUUUUUACAGAAGAAACGCAAUAAAGAGAUGGGUACUCCAUGCUGGAUUACGAGAAGGACGUUCGGCAAGCUUUUCUGCGACAAAAGGAUACACUCUUUUAUAAGAUGAAGUGCGCACAGAAGAGAGCAACCCUCGAAGCAGGAGCCGUACAGAAGGAGAGCGAUAUUAAAAUAAAAAAAAUAGUUAUGCAA